UACGUAGGGUGCGAGCGUUAAUCGGAAUUACUGGGCGUAAAGCGUGCGCAGGCGGUUUUGUAAGUCAGAUGUGAAAUCCCCGGGCUUAACCUGGGAACUGCGUUUGAAACUACAAGGCUAGAGUGUGGCAGAGGGGGGUGGAAUUCCACGUGUAGCAGUGAAAUGCGUAGAGAUGUGGAGGAAUACCGAUGGCGAAGGCAGCCCCCUGGGAUAAUACUGACGCUCAUGCACGAAAGCGUGGGGAGCAAACAGG
rnacentral:rRNA from 1 species